rnacentral:misc_RNA from 1 species
GAUGAAGAACGUAGCGAAAUGCGAUACUUGGUGUGAAUUGCAGAAUUCAGUGAAUCAUCGAAUCUUUGAACGCACAUUGCGCCCCUUGGUAUUCCGAGGGGCAUGCCUGUUCGAGCGUCAUUAUAACCCUCAAGCUCAGCUUGGUGUUGGGGCCUGCUGCACUGGCAGCCCUUAAAAUCAGUGGCGGCGCCAUCUGGCUCUAAGCGUAGUAAUUCUUCUCGCUAUGGAGUCCUGGUGGAUGCUUGCCAUCAACCCCCAAUUUUUCUAUGGUUGACCUCGGAUCAGGUAGGGAUACCCGCUGAACUUAAGCAUAUCAAUAAGCGGAGGA